rnacentral:rRNA from 1 species
UACAGAGGUCUCAAGCGUUGUUCGGAUUCAUUGGGCGUAAAGGGUGUGUAGGUGGCGCCGUAAGUCGGUCGUGAAAUCCUUCGGCUCAACCGAAGAACGUCGGCCGAUACUGCCGUUCUUGAGGGAUGCAGAGGAGAUUGGAAUUCCCGGUGUAGCGGUGAAAUGUGUAGAGAUCGGGAGGAACACCGGUGGCGAAGGCGGGUCUCUGGGCAUCUCCUGACGCUGAGGCGCGAAAGCGUGGGGAGCAAACGGG